rnacentral:rRNA from 1 species
UACGUAGGGUGCGAGCGUUGUCCGGAAUUAUUGGGCGUAAAGAGCUUGUAGGCGGUUUGUCGCGUCUGCUGUGAAAUUUCGGGGCUCAACCCCGAACUUGCAGUGGGUACGGGCAGACUAGAGUGUGGUAGGGGAGACUGGAAUUCCUGGUGUAGCGGUGAAAUGCGCAGAUAUCAGGAGGAACACCGAUGGCGAAGGCAGGUCUCUGGGCUAUAACUGACGCUCAUGCACGAAAGCGUGGGGAGCAAACAGG